rnacentral:rRNA from 1 species
GACAGAGGCCUCGAGCGUUAGGCGGAAUCACUGGGCUUAAAGCGUGUGUAGGCGGCCCGAUAAGUCCGCUGUGAAAGUCCAGGGCUCAACCCUGGGAUGCCGGUGGAUACUGUCGGGCUCGAGUCCGGAAGAGGCGAGUGGAAUUCCUGGUGUAGCGGUGAAAUGCGCAGAUAUCAGGAGGAACACCAAUGGCGAAGGCAGCUCGCUGGGACGUGACUGACGCUGAGACGCGAAAGCGUGGGGAGCAAACAGG